CUACCCCGCUGGAAACUAAGCAUAUCAAUAAGCGGAGGAAAAGAAACCNACCGGGAUUGCCUCAGUAACGGCGAGUGAAGCGGCGAGAGCUCAAAUUUGAAAUCUGACCUUCCGGGUCCGAGUUGUAAUUUGGAGAGGAUGUUUCGGGUAAGACGUGGGCCUAAGUUCCUUGGAACAGGACGUCACAGAGGGUGAGAAUCCCGUACGUGGCCCAGGGUUGCACCCAUGUGAAACUCCUUCGACGAGUCGAGUUGUUUGGGAAUGCAGCUCAAAAUGGGUGGUAAAUUUCAUCUAAAGCUAAAUAUUGGCCAGAGACCGAUAGCGCACAAGUAGAGUGAUCGAAAGAUGAAAAGCACUUUGAAAAGAGAGUUAAACAGCAUGUGAAAUUGUUGAAAGGGAAGCGCUUGAAGCCAGACUCGUUCGCGGGGUUCAACCGUCGUUCUCGGCGGUGCACUUCCCCGCUGUCGGGCCAGCAUCGGUUCGGGUGGAAGGUCAAAGGCCCUGGGAACGUGACAUCCUCCGGGAUGUUUUAUAGCCCUCGGCGUAAUGCUUCCCACCUGGACUGAGGCACGCGUUCGCUAGGAUGCUGGCGUAAUGGCUUUCAGCGACCCGUCUUGAAACACGGACCAAGGAGUCUAACAUCUAUGCGAGUAUUCNGGCGUCAAACCCAUAUGCGCAAUGAAAGUGAACGGAGGUGGGAACCCUUGCGGUGCACCAUCGACCGAUCCUGAUGUCCUCGGAUGGAUUUGAGUAAGAGCAUAGCUGUUGGGACCCGAAAGAUGGUGAACUAUGCCUGAAUAGGGUGAAGCCAGAGGAAACUCUGGUGGAGGCUCGCAGCGGUUCUGACGUGCAAAUCGAUCGUCNAAUUUGGGUAUAGGGGCGAAAGAC
rnacentral:rRNA from 1 species